UAAGAUCUGACGGAGAUUUCACAUUAACGAUAUGGCCAAAGAGAACAACUCCUCCGCUAUGGAUGUGGACAACCAGAAUUCGGAAUCCGUUGAUCAGAUUAAUAGCCCUAGGUUCUCUAUCAAUGUUUUGCAGCUCUUGAAAUCCGCUCAGAUGCAGCAUGGAUUGCUGUUUGGCGAUUACGCUCGUUACCGGAGGUACUGUACUGCUC